UUGAACGCUGGCGGCAGGCCUAACACAUGCAAGUCGAACGGUAACAGGAAGCAGCUUGCUGUUUCGCUGACGAGUGGCGGACGGGUGAGUAAUGUCUGGGAGACUGCCUGAUGGAGGGGGAUAACUACUGGAAACGGUAGCUAAUACCGCAUAACGUCGCAAGACCAAAGAGGGGGACCUUCGGGCCUCUUGCCAUCGGAUGUGCCCAGAUGGGAUUAGCUAGUAGGUGGGGUAACGGCUCACCUAGGCGACGAUCCCUAGCUGGUCUGAGAGGAUGACCAGCCACACUGGAACUGAGACACGGUCCAGACUCCUACGGGAGGCAGCAGUGGGGAAUAUUGCACAAUGGGCGCAAGCCUGAUGCAGCCAUGCCGCGUGUAUGAAGAAGGCCUUCGGGUUGUAAAGUACUUUCAGCGGGGAGGAAGGGAGUAAAGUUAAUACCUUUGCUCAUUGACGUUACCCGCAGAAGAAGCACCGGCUAACUCCGUGCCAGCAGCCGCGGUAAUACGGAGGGUGCAAGCGUUAAUCGGAAUUACUGGGCGUAAAGCGCACGCAGGCGGUUUGUUAAGUCAGAUGUGAAAUCCCCGGGCUCAACCUGGGAACUGCAUCUGAUACUGGCAAGCUUGAGUCUCGUAGAGGGGGGUAGAAUUCCAGGUGUAGCGGUGAAAUGCGUAGAGAUCUGGAGGAAUACCGGUGGCGAAGGCGGCCCCCUGGACGAAGACUGACGCUCAGGUGCGAAAGCGUGGGGAGCAAACAGGAUUAGAUACCCUGGUAGUCCACGCCGUAAACGAUGUCGACUUGGAGGUUGUGCCCUUGAGGCGUGGCUUCCGGAGCUAACGCGUUAAGUCGACCGCCUGGGGAGUACGGCCGCAAGGUUAAAACUCAAAUGAAUUGACGGGGGCCCGCACAAGCGGUGGAGCAUGUGGUUUAAUUCGAUGCAACGCGAAGAACCUUACCUGGUCUUGACAUCCACGGAAGUUUUCAGAGAUGAGAAUGUGCCUUCGGGAACCGUGAGACAGGUGCUGCAUGGCUGUCGUCAGCUCGUGUUGUGAAAUGUUGGGUUAAGUCCCGCAACGAGCGCAACCCUUAUCCUUUGUUGCCAGCGGUCCGGCCGGGAACUCAAAGGAGACUGCCAGUGAUAAACUGGAGGAAGGUGAGGAUGACGUCAAGUCAUCAUGGCCCUUACGACCAGGGCUACACACGUGCUACAAUGGCGCAUACAAAGAGAAGCGACCUCGCGAGAGCAAGCGGACCUCAUAAAGUGCGUCGUAGUCCGGAUUGGAGUCUGCAACUCGACUCCAUGAAGUCGGAAUCGCUAGUAAUCGUGGAUCAGAAUGCCACGGUGAAUACGUUCCCGGGCCUUGUACACACCGCCCGUCACACCAUGGGAGUGGGUUGCAAAAGAAGUAGGUAGCUUAACCUUCGGGAGGGCGCUUACCACUUUGUGAUUCAUGACUGGGGUG
rnacentral:rRNA from 1 species